AUGAAGGUGCCGUUGAUGAUUCACUGAGUUUAGACGAUUUCUAUAGGAGAUACACAAGUGAGGAUAAUGAUAGUUUUUCAAAAAUAUUGGAGAAAGUGAAUAGGAAAAGAAAGGAAAGAUAUUGGCACUUGUUAGAAGGUGAAAAACAGGAUGCUAAAUUGAUUGAGGAUUCGAAGAGGGAUAGGAUUACAGAUGGUUAUGGGACAUCUGAUCAACCUCCGAGCACAUUGGAGGGUUGGAAAUACACAGCCAGGAAUUUGUUGAUGUAUCACCCCUCAGACAGGGGUGAGGCUCCGUUGACUGAAGAAGAACGUUCUGUUAGAUUGAAGGGUUUAACAAAAGAACUAAAUAGGUCAAACACACGGUUUCAUGGUAAAAUGUUGGAUUCUAGACCAAAAGAUGAUGGAACUGUUGAAGUGCUUUAUACACCAGUUGUGGGGGCCACCCCUCUUCCUAUAUCGGACAGAGAUGGGGAUAAAGCAAAGAAGUAUGAUUUGGAAGAUUUGAGGAAGACACCAAACAGGUUUUACGUGGAAUCAGGGAAGAAGGCAGAAAAUGGAUAUAGUUUUGUUAGGACACCUUCACCAGCUCCGGGGGUUGAUGAAUCACCAUUUAUCACAUGGGGUGAGAUAGAAGGAACGCCAUUGAGGUUGGAACCUGAAGACACUCCAAUUGAUAUUGGUGGUAGCGGUGAUGGGUCGCAUUUUAAAAUUCCAAAUCCACCUGCACGAGAUGUGAAGGCACAUUCAUUGUCGAGGGAGGCUGCCCGAAAGUUGAGGGAGAGAUCAAAGAUGUUUCAAAAACCACCAUUACCUUCUCCAAGAAGAGGGGGAAGUGCAAGUCCAAUUGUGCGUACACUUUCUCCUGCUGCACAGAAGUUUAUGAGGAGUGCAAUUUCUAAGUCUUCAUCUUCUGUUGAUGAAUCCCUUCGUGCUAGUUACAGAGGAGCAAGCCCUGGGGUUGGUACUCCAAAGAGUAGGAGCGUAUCGAGGCUUGGAAGAGAUGGAAGCUUGAGUUCCAG
rnacentral:misc_RNA from 1 species